rnacentral:rRNA from 1 species
ACGACUCUUGACAAUGGAUAUCUCAGCUCUUGUAUUGAUGAAGAACGUAGAGAAAUGUGAUACUUGGUGUGAAUUGCCGAAUCCCAUGAACCAUCGAGUCUUUGAACGCAAGUUGCGCCCAAAGCCACUAGGCCGAGGGCACGCCUGCUUGGGUGUCACGGAUCACGUCGCCCCCUCCCCGCGCCCAAACGUGCUGCGGGGGCGGAGAGUGGUCCCCCAUGCGUGGCGUCGCAUGGUCGGGCCAAAUGUGAUCCCCGGUGAUGCACGUCACGACAAGUGGUGGUUGAACCAUCAACAUGCGCUAUCGUGCACCACCGUGUUGGGACGCACGAUCAGACCCAACGGCAUGUGCGAGCAUGUCGCCUUCGACCGUGAUCCCAGGUCAGGCGGGAUCACCCGCUGAGUUUAAGCAUAUUAAUAAGCGGAGGAAAAGAAAAUUACAAGGAUUCCCCAAGUAACGGCGAGCGAAGCGGGAAUAGCCCAAUUUGAGAAUCGAGCGGCCACGCCGUUUGAAUUGUAGUCUGGAGAAGCAUUCUCAGCGGUGGACCGAGGUCGAGUCCCCUUGAAUGGGGCGCCAUUGAGAGUGAGAGCCCCUUUGCUCCCAGACCCUAUUGCACCACGAGGCACUGUCGGCGAGUCGGGUUGUUUGGGAAUGCAGUCCCAAUCGGGCGGUAAAUUUCGUCCAAGGCUAAAUACGGGCGAGAAAUCAAUAGCAAACAAGUACUGCGAGGGAAAGAUGAAAAGGACUUUGAAAAGAGAGUCAAAUAGUGCUUGAAAUUGUCAGGAGGGAAGCGGAUGGGUGCCAAUGAUGUGUCCCGAUCGGAUGUGGAACGGCGAGAGUCAGUCUGCCAAUCAACUCGGGGCACGCACCAGCACAGAUCAAUGUGGUGCUCAAAGCUCAUGGGGUCGAUAUGCUCAUUGUACGGCAUCGCAUCGAUCUAGGAGGACAACGCGCUCCUCGUGCAUGCCUCGGUAACUGCACAUUCCCGGUGCUGGCUUGCGGGCUGCCCAUUUGACCCAUCUUGAAACACGAACCAAGGAGUCUAACAUGUGCGCGAGUCAAUGGGCGAUUAAACUCGUAAGGCACAAGGAAUCUGACCGGCACGAUUCCCUCGAUGGGUGCACCGCCGACCGACGUUGAUCUUCUGAGAAGGGUUCGAGUGAGCGUACCUAUCAGGACCCGAAAGAUGGUGAACCAUGCCUGAGCGGGGCGAAGCCAGAGGAAACUCUGGUGGAGGCCUGCAGUGAUACUGACGUGCAAAUUGUUCGUCUGACUUAGGUAUAGGGGCGAAAGACUAAUCAAACCGUCCAGUAGCUGGUUCCCUCCAAUGUUUCCUCAGGAUAGCUGGAGCUCUAGUGCAAGUUAUAUCAGGUAAAGCCAAUGAUUAAAGGCAUCGGGGGCGCAACGCCCUCGACCUAUUCUCAAACUUUAAAUAGGUAGGAUGGCGCGCCUGCUCCAUUGAGUCGCGCCGGAGAAUCAUGAGCUCCAAGUAGGCCAUUUUUAGUAAGCAGAACUGAUGAUGCGGGAUGAACUAGAAACCAGGUUAUGGUGCCCAACUGCGCGCUAACCUAGAUCCCACAAAGGGUGUUGGUCUUUUAAGACAGCAGGAUGGUGGUCAUGUAAGUUGAAAUUCCCUAAGGAGUGUGUAACAACUCACCUGCCGAAUCAACUAGCACUGAAAAUGGAUGGCGCUGAAGCACUCGACCUAUACCCAGCUGUAGGGGUAAGGGCCAGGCCACGAUGAGUAGGAGGGCAUGAGCCCUGGCAGAGCGGCCGUCGGUGCGAAUCUUGGUGGUAGUAACAAAUAUUCAAAUGAUAACUUUGAAGGUCGAACAGGGGAAAGGUUCCAUGUGAACGGCACUUGCACAUAGCUUUGUCUAUCCUAAGGGUCGGGGGAAGUCCGACAGACAGCGCAUUCAGCGCGUGCUCCAAAAAGGAAUCAGGUUAAAAUUCCUGAACUAGAAUGCGGUGGUUGACGACAACGUUAAGGAGUCUAGAGACAUCGGUGGGGGCCUCGGGAAGAGUUAUAUUUUCUAUUGAACAGCCCGCCCACCCUGGAAAUAGCUCAGCCGGAGGUAGGGUCCAGUGGCUGGAAGAGCACCGCACGUCGCGUGGUGUCCGGUGCACCCCCGGCGGCCCUUGAAAAUCCAGAGGACCGAGUACCGUCCGUACCCAGUCGUACUUAUAACCACAUUAGGUCUCCUAGGUGAAUAGCCUCUGGUCGAUGGAAUAAUGUAGGCAAGGGAAGUCGGCAAAAUGGAUCUGUAACCUCAGGAAAAAGAUUGGCUUUGAGAGCUGGGCACGGUGGUCCCAUUCCCUAACCAGUCGACUGUUGGCGAACUGCUCGAGCUGCUCGCGUGACGAGAGUCGUUCGUCGCGGCCGGCCGGGGGAGUGACUGGGAACGGCUCCCUCAGGGGCCUUCCCCAGGCAUCGAAGAGUCGACUCAGAACUGGUACAGACAAGGAGAAUCCGACUGUUUAAUUAAAAUAAAGCAUUAUGAUGGUCUAUGUGGAUGCUCACGAAAUGUGAUUUCUGCCCAGUGCUCUGAAUGUCAAAGUGAAGAAAAUCAACCAAGCACGGGUAAACGGCGGGAGUAACUAUGACUCUGAAUAUAGAUGUUAAUAUUCAGAAAAAGGUCGAAGCCAGAUACAAUGUACAAAAACAAACCUCAACGACUGAGGUCGAAAACUAGGCCCCAACGAUACAAACAUCGAGAGGGUCCGAACACAAUCAUCUAGCUAGGAGAAACUGAAACCUAGCUACAUGCAUUAAAAUGUUAUUUAUAACACCACUAAUAGUCGGUUUAGUAUUAUCAAAAAUGACAUCAUUCCUCGCUUUCCAAAUAAAGAAAACCGUAGUAAAAAGAGCAAGCUCCCUCCGUCUAUGAUCUGCUUUCCGAGUACCAUGAUCCUUAGAAAUCCACUUGACGCUUGCAAAGAAGGUAGAAAUACGUCUUUGCCACCCAAUGAAAGAGCGCACUUGGUUCCAAACAGUACUUGAAAAAGAACACUGAAUGUCCAUGAAUGUAAACUUCAUGGAUCCAUCGAAGCCACAAUGAAUUCUUCUUCAAAUGAAUGUCCCAUAUAACACCACACAAUGCAACAUCAUUCAUAAGCUCAAUGUUGCUAUGUCCCAAUCCUCCUAGCUCCUUAGAGAGGAGAACUUCAGACCAUUUAAUAGAGCCACGCUUUCUGCCCCAUAAAAAUAAGCGGAUCAUCCGCUCAACACGCUGAAUAACACCUACGGGAAUCUUGACCAUCGAGGCCCAAAAAUUCAAGAUCCCAUAGAU